UUAAGUCCCGCAACGAGCGCAACCCUUGUCUUAAUUGCCAUCAUUCAUCGGGCACUUUAAGAGACUGCCGGUGUUAAACCGGAGGAAGGUGGGAUGACGUCAAGUCCUCAUGGCCUUUAUGCCCAGGGCUACACACGUGCUACAAUGGGUGGUACAAAGAGAUGCAAUCUCGCAAGAGCAAGCAAACCUCAAAAAGCCAUCCUCAGUUCGGAUUGGAGUCUGCAACUCGACUCCAUGAAGUCGGAAUCGCUAGUAAUCGCGGGUCAGCACGCCGCGGUGAAUACGUUCCCGGGCCUU
rnacentral:rRNA from 1 species